GUAGGGAAUAUUGGGCAAUGGUCGGAAGACUGACCCAGCCAUGCCGCGUGCAGGAAGACGGCCCUCUGGGUUGUAAACUGCUUUUAUCUGGGAAGAAAAAGGCCAUGCGUGGCAAAUUGCCGGUACCAGAUGAAUAAGCACCGGCUAACUCCGUGCCAGCAGCCGCGGUAAUACGGAGGGUGCGAGCGUUGUCCGGAUUUAUUGGGUUUAAAAGGUGCGUAGGCGGCUGAUUAAGUCAGCGGUGAAAGACUUCGGCUUAACCGGAGCAGUGCCGUUGAUACUGGUUGGCUUGAGUGUCGGAGGGGUACAUGGAAUUGAUGGUGUAGCGGUGAAAUGCAUAGAUACCAUCAGGAACACCGAUAGCGAAGGCAUUGUACUGGCCGACAACUGACGCUGAUGCACGAAAGUGUGGGGAUCGAACAGGAUUAGAAACCCGUGUAGUCC
rnacentral:rRNA from 1 species